GGGUUCAGAGAUUCCUUCUCUGGAGGAGUAAGUCAGAUGGCCGGGCCGCCACUG
rnacentral:ncRNA from 1 species